rnacentral:rRNA from 1 species
AAUGAACGUUGGCGGCGUGGAUUUGGCAUGCAAGUCGAGCGAGAACCCGCAAGGGGGACAGCGGCAAACGGGGUAGUAAUGUGUCGGAACGUGCCCUCUGGACGGGGAUAGCGGCGGGAAACUGCCGGUAAUACCCGAUGAACUCGAGAGAGCAAAGGUGUGAUUCCGCCGGAGGAGCGGCCGACAUGGUAUUAGCUAGUUGGCGGGGUAACGGCCCACCAAGGCUUUGAUGCCUAGGGGAUGUGAGAGCAUGAUCCCCACCAUUGGGACUGAGACACUGCCCAGACACCUACGGGUGGCUGCAGUCGAGAAUCUUCGUCAAUGGGCGAAAGCCUGAACGAGCGACGCCGCGUGUGGGAUGAAGGCCUUUGGGUUGUAAACCACUGUCGAGGGGGAUGAAGGCUUGAAGGUACUCCUUCAAGUUUGACAGAGCCCUGGAGGAAGCACGGGCUAAGUUCGUGCCAGCAGCAGCCGCAGUAA